rnacentral:rRNA from 1 species
UACGGGGGGGGCAAGCGUUGUCCGGAAUUACUGGGCGUAAAGCGUGCGCAGGCGGUAAGUUAAGUCUGAUGUGAAAGCCCCGGGCUCAACCUGGGAAUGGCAUUGGAAACUGGCUUGCUGGAGUGUGGCAGAGGGGGGUGGAAUUCCGCGUGUAGCAGUGAAAUGCGUAGAGAUGCGGAGGAACACCGAUGGCGAAGGCAGCCCCCUGGGCCAACACUGACGCUCAGGCACGAAAGCGUGGGGAGCGAACAGG